UUUUUCAGAACACAAGCCAGCGAUCUUUCUUUUCCACCUAAAACUAUUUCCAUACCUCAUCUAACCUAGCCAUCCAAACACCCAAAUACCUUCACCAUUCUUUUCCACACCGAUACCAUCCUUCUUCACACCAAAAAUCUCUCUCUUCCUGAUGCCAUCUUCUCUCAUUUUGCUACUGUCAACCAUCUUCCAGUUGCUGCCCAGAAGUCUCCUUAACCCCAGGAUAUCAGCGAGUAAAAGUUCAUGACCGAUUAAAUUUUUCAACGAAAAAUUUCUGAAGUGCUUGUAACAAGUAGUAUUUUUAUUGUUUUAUUUAUUUUUGUACUUCUCCUUUCUAUAAAACAAA
rnacentral:lncRNA from 1 species